AUAUAUAUCAACAUCAUCAUAACAGUAUUUAAAUACUCACCUGAUACUCACCUGUGCGUCCGCCGCACCAUUCAUUCAUAUGCAUCAUAUAACAAUUCAUACUUUUCAUAUCAUUUCAUGCAUGGCAAUUCGAUUCACAUUUCUAUAUACUUUGCAUAUAAUUUUAUGCAUGGCAUCUCAAUUCACGUUUUCAUAUAAUUCUAUAUACCUUUCAUUUAAAACAUAAUUUCAUUCUAAUUCAAUUUCUGGGAAAACGUCAAGUAUAUAUAUAUACGGAAAACAAAACUGCCCACUCACCUGGAGUUCGUCCUACAACUCCCUAGCACAAUACGCCAAGGCGUCAUGACGAUUGCCGCCUAGAACAGUAAUCAAAUCCAACCUCAGAAUUCAUAUCGAUAGAAUAUAUAACUUAUAUAAAAUACGUCACUACGUAGAUCGAUCCGGAAGAUCUGCCACUCAGAUUUUAAAUCCAUAACUUCCAGAGGUCCACAAUAUAUCUCUAGGACAACAUCCUAAAAUUUCAUCACCAUCCAACGGUUAGAUCUCCGUCAAUUAACAAAACUAAGUGACGGUUUACAUUCUAUUUUAUGAACUUACAACUCAAAUUCCGGAAGAUCUGUAAAUCGGAUUCCCAAUCCGUAAGUUCCUAUAAUCCUCAAAUAUUACGUAUUACAACGUAUCAAAGUUUGGUGACGAUCCAACGGUCGGAUCAUCAAUUCACAUUUUCACCUAAUGCGAAAAUUAUAAAACGUUAUUUGAACACCUAACCAACAAUCCUUAAUAACUUUCUCAUACGGUACUCAAUUUGGGUAUAUGAAUAUACCAAAGUGAUCUACUCGACGUCACGAACGUCGACAUAUUUUUAGAUUAUUUUUUUGAUGUGCCACGCGCCCCCACGCGCCAGGACAAGCACGGGGACACGCGCCCCCACGCGCAUCAUCCCCAACCUUGGUUCGUCGGACUGGUUUUUCCGGCGACCGGAAAACUGGAGAAUUUUCAAAUGCUUCGUUCUCCUUCGUUUCUCAACCAUUUUCUUCGUAUAAUAUAUCAAAUUGAAGCCCUCAACAUGUAGAAUCAUAAUAUACUACUUUAAAGCUCUAAAAACUACGAAAUCUUACCGGAAAAAUUCCACAAGAACCGGCCAACUUUGAACGUGGUGAUCCCGACGUCCAAAACUUCCAAACAACAUACUCCGAGCUUCCUUGGGACUUCCUAAAGCUCACUGUGAGCUUAGUUUGGCCUAAAACACAACCAAUUCAAAGCUCAUGAACAGUACACUUUCACGGGGAGUUUAGAAUCUAGGUUUUCCGAAGUAAAACUUACCUGAAAUUGGUGUCUACGUGAUCGUGGAGGUUCCAGGAGUUCGAUGGUGGUCUUAACUCCGUCGUUGGUAGAAGUUUAGGGUGGUUUUGGAGCUUGUCCGUGUGAGUUCGAAGGAGAGGGAGAGAGAACUGAGAGUUUCGUGAGGGAGGAGAGAGAGAGAUAAAGCACGGAAAAGAGGGAGAGAAUUUAGGGGUGUGGGAUCCUACCCAAUCCCCAACUACAAAUUCUAACAUAAAAUUUAAGUCUAAGUCUCCACUCUACUUACCAAAUUUUAGGAGCUUAGAUAUAACGAACGUAAAAAUUAUACCUUAGUCACGUAUUGGGGGCAUUUUCGUAAUUUCAUGUCCUCAGAAUUGAAAAUUCCGGGACGGGCUGUGACAAUCUCCCCUCCUUAUAGAAUUUCGUCCCCGAAAUUCCAGCAACCAACUAAAUCAUCUAUACUCAUACAAUAGCCUCGGGUAAAUCUCUCUCAUCCGAUUCUUUUUCUCCAACAUAAUUUUCUACUGAAUGGUUUCUUCACAAAACUUUUACCACUUAUACUGUCAUUCUCAGUACUUUCUUUUUCCAAUCCAAAGUCGUCAUUGGUUCCUUAUCAAGUCGAAUCCAAUUUAAUUCUCAAUAGUUGCACCAGAAUUCCAUGAGACCUAGUGACAACGCAUCGAACACAAAAUACAUUAAGUACCGUUGCCCUGUCUGGGAAAAAGUUAUUACUCAGCACUGGAGUAAUGUACUAACUUGUUACGUUAACCAACUAUUACUUUAAAUUCGACCAUAACCAUCUUGUGUACAAGGAAGCUUGUACACAUAAUCCAAAGUAAUCUUUUUCCAUUUCCGCUGCGAAACAGAAAAUAGCUGUCUCAAUCCAAGGUUUAUUUCUUUCUGCCUCAAUCUGCUGACCAAUAAAAAUGUCGAAUGGUAUGAUAAAUCUUAUUACUUUCGGAAUAUUGCAGAAGCUGAACAGUGUGCUUCGUCCAAAAUUAUUUACUUUAAACUCAAAGCAUUAGGCACAUACUUUUUGUUUACUUGUAUUCACAUGCCAUUUGAUUCACGAAUCAUGUACUCAUUCUCUUUCCUUUCUUUCUCUGCCUUGGUAAUUUAUUAAAUUUCUUCGUCAAGCAUUUGAGUCUCGAGUACGACCUUAUCAAAAAUGCCUAACUUGAAAAUUAGCAAGUAGAGCUUCUUCUCGAUCUACAAUUCUCAACUUUACUUCAGUUGAUUUCCAAUCCACAAGAAGAUAAUCUUGGCAAGCGUACCAAGCAUUAAUUCUUACUGUAGUCUUCUUAUCAAGUGCUUCAGCUACAACAAUUCACGAUCACCCUGAUCGUACAAUCAUAAUCACUAAGUAAUUCAAUCCACCUUUGUUGCCUCAUAUCAAAAUCCUUCCGAGUAAACAAAUAUUGGAGACUCUUUUGAUUUGUAAAAUCUUGCAUUCUCACUGAAAUAUAAUGCUUUCAUAACUUCACAGCAAGAAUGGUAAUCAUGACUUCCAAGUCACCUGUAGGGUAAUUCAUCUCAUGAGGUUCCAUUUGUCAUGAAACAUAUGCCAUCACCCUAACAUUUGUAUCAACAUGCCUCCAAUACCAUUCAAGAAACAUCACUAAAAAUUUAUGAUUACCACUAUUCUCUGGGAUUACUAAAAUACGUGCAUGAGUGAGGAAAUACUUCAGUUGUUGAAUCCUUUGCUCACAAUUUCCUUCCCACUCAUACAUAACCUCUUUUCUUAACAGUCUCGUCAAUGACAAAGCAAUGACUAAAAACUCUUUCACAACCAUCCAAGAUAGCCUGGUAAGUUAAGAAAUUCCAAAUCUCAAUUACGACUCGUGGUUGUUCCAAAGUCUCAAUUUCUGCUAUCUUUUAAGGAUUCACUUGAAUACCUUAAGCAGAUAUAACAAAUCUUAGAAUGCCACCUGAUUCAUCUAACUUUAGCAUUUGCUACUUAGCAUACAACCAACGUUCUCUCAAUCUUUGCUUCACCGACUUAAUACGUUUACAUGCUCUGCUCUGGCUCAGAAUAUGCCUGAAUAUCUUCAAUGAAAAUGAUAUCAAUUAUCAAGGCAUUAUUGGAAUACUUCAUCCAUCAACUCAUAAAACAGCAUGAGUAUCCAUAUAGCAUCACCAAACUUCAUAAAGACUAUAACAAGUCCAGAAAAACAAUCUUAGGAACAACGUUACUCAUAAUCUUCAAUUGAUAAUAAACAGACUUCAAGUCAAUCUUUGAAAAUAUACAAGCACCUUUGAACUGAUCAAAUGAGCGUCAAUACACCACAAUGGAUAACGGUUCUCAUUCGUUACCCGAUUCCAUUGUCUAUAAUCAAUGGAUAGCCUUAAAAUCCAUUUUCUUCCUCACCAACGAACUGGGGCUCCCCCAAAGCGUUGUACUAGGUUGAAUAAAACUUUUAUCAACCAAUUCUUUCAACUGAAUUUCCAAUUCCCUUAACUCAUCCUGAACCAAUCUCCAAUAUAAAUUUAUACCUGGUCACAAUUCAAUAAUGAACCUCAUAUCUCUGCCUGAAGACAAUCCAGGUAUACUUUCAGGGAAGACAUCAAGAAAAGUCUAACCCCUUUUGACAUUAUUCACACUACUCCAAACAACAUCAUUUAGCACCACAUGAGCUAAGUAAUUUUGACAGCCUUUCGAAAACAAUCUCUUUGCUCUCACAGCAUAAAUAACGGCCUGACUCAACCCACUUUGCAUACUUACAAAAGAAAUCUCUGGUCAUCCAGAUCGAUGGAAAGUACUGGUUUCCCGUAACAUUCCGUCUUGUCACAAUUAUAACCAACCAAUCUAAUGGAACAGAAUUAACUGAUACAAUAUAUAUAUUCUAUUAUUAUUAAGCAUUCUAAAUAAGUACAAUACUAACAUAAAAUAAUCUACCGGGUUGCUUGCUUAACGAAUCCACGAAUGAGUUAUUAAUAUUACGGUCUGCAGCCCGCAAUACUGAUAAAUCAUCGUUGUCUCGAUAAGUAAGCAACAACUCUCAAAGAUAUAACAUUACUAUUUUGUUACUCAAUGCAAAAUACAUACACUCGUCUCAACUACAUUUAUUUACUACUCUCUAGGUAAUAACAUACAUAAUAAGAAAUAUAUCAGCCGAAGUCAACUAGAAUGACCAAUACGGCUGAUUCAACUCUUAUCUCAAUAAUACGUCGGCCGGAUCCACUCCGCGUGGUCGGUACGGCCGAGCCUAUAACUCACCAAUUUCUCAUGCGUCAAUCGAAUCCAUUUCUCAUGGUCUGUACGGCUGAACAUAUAACUCAUCAAAUCUCUCUGUACUCACGGUCAAUCCGACCAACUACUAAAUCCAUAACUCUGCUGAAUCGACACUAUGAUAUCAUGGAAAAUUGUUGAGUACAACUGAUUCUAGGGACGAUUCACAAUUCUGUGUCCCCUCUGUUCACAUAAACACAUUCAUUAAUUUCACACUUCCCAAAGUGUUAAUUUUGUACCUGCUGCACAAAGUACAUUUCCUUUACUCGAGACACCUUGUCUCAAAUAUCUGGGAUUACCAGUAUAUCCAUCACUUUUAUUCUGACCAGCGACAUUAAAACCUCAGCUGGAAGAAUUAACUCUAGCUUCACUUCUUUCGAAGCUCUAAAUCUUUCUAUAUCCUUGAUAUGACGAAUCAUUAACUUUAUCGUCUUCUUUUAAUUCCCAUUCAUUUCUUAUUCUUCUUUGUUCUCGUUGCUCAUGUUCUCAGAGUCCUCAAGACUCAACAGCAUCUUGUAUAUUCCUGGUAAGAAGUAUAAUGGAUAGUGGUCACCCAAAAUACCACUUCCCUUUUUGCCACCCAGCUUAAAACAACAUAACACCUCCACCAAAUUAACAACAAUAUCUGGAUGGAACGAGGCAAGUCUGAAAACUUUCUAUAAUAUCCCUCGAUCAUCACCUUCCUUGUCUCAUAUUUGUAAACUCUUGUUUACUACCAUCGAUAAAUGGCGGAGGGAUAAACUUUCCCUUAAACAAGUCCUUAAACAAUUUUAAAUCGGCUGAUUACUCUUGUGACAACAAAUAACAAUCCUGUUUCCACCAGGAUAUAAAUUCAUACCCAAAACCAGGUAGUCGUCUCGACCCCUUGUCAGAAGGAAAUUUCCUUUAACUUGCAUAAUCUGAAACAUCUUUUCCAAAUGGUUAAACCGUUACUUCGCUCCCUCAGGUUAAUCAUUUCAUAAGGUGAUUCAAAUUCGACUCAUAACCCGUCUUAAAAUGUCCAUUUUGAUAAUAUACUGAAUCACCAUAAUAAUAGUUUCCCCUAAACUGCUAUAUUAGGGAGACUAAAUUCCUCCAACUAAGUGGCUUACUACGAGGCGGUGUAGUUCUGACAGAAUUCAUUAGAACUUCUCAAGAUGUCCAAGAUUGCAACCAUGCUCUGAUACCAACUGACACACCCCGUCCCGAAGGAGGGCAUGCUGGCCGUCACGUGAGAGUGACGUAACCAUUUACACAGUACGGAAGCUUUAAGAUACAAUUUAUAAGUUGAUACACCCGAAGGUGAGUCCUAAUUUUGUCCAUUCUGUCAGAACACCGUCGAAUUCCUCGUAGUCACCACACCUUUGUGAUUCCUGAACCUGGAGGGGCGCAAAACCAAAAUUGAGUGGGUCAGUAAAACAAUUCUUUUCCAAAUCCAAACAUUUCUCAAAACGUUGUAACCCCUCUCCGUAAAACCUGUAUACUUUCCCAGAAAUGUAAAAUAUAAAUAUACAUAUAUAAUCUCAAAACUUCAAAUCACUAUCUCAACAUUUUUCAUUACAAUUAUGCCAUGCCAUGUCUAAAUUCAACAGUAUAAUAUGAAUGCAUCAACAAUAAUUAUAUCAGGUGCAAGAAGUAAUCAACCGGAGGCCCUCUAAUAGCCCUGAACGGUUGAACCUAGAGCUCAAAAUCUAUCACUCUCACUCUGCCGGAGUCACCUCUGUGACCUGUACGGCCUUCUGCACACAAGUUACGCUCUAGUGCUUUCUCAUUAAUCAUCUGUGCACAUAAUCUAAGGUCACCCACCAGUCGAAAUCUCACUAACACUCUUCGACUGGCCCGUCGCACCCACUCCGCGUGGACUAUGCGACCAGCAUCUACUUGGAUCCAAGGCGAGCGUGCGAUGCGGUGAAUACUAUAAGCACUAAACCAUGGUGCAGGAUUUGAGCUCAAUAUAUAUCAACAUCAUCAUAACAGUAUUUAAAUACUCACCUGAUACUCACCUGUGCGUCCGCCGCACCAUUCAUUCAUAUGCAUCAUAUAACAAUUCAUACUUUUCAUAUCAUUUCAUGCAUGGCAAUUCGAUUCACAUUUCUAUAUACUUUGCAUAUAAUUUUAUGCAUGGCAUCUCAAUUCACGUUUUCAUAUAAUUCUAUAUACCUUUUCAUUUAAAACAUAAUUUCAUUCUAAUUCAAUUUCUGGGAAAACGUCAAGUAUAUUAUAUAUACGGAAAACAAAACUGCCCACUCACACCUGGAGUUCGUCCUACAACUCCCUAGCACAAUACGCCAAGGCGUCAUGACGAUUGCCGCCUAGAACAGUAAUCAAAUCCAACCUCAGAAUUCAUAUCGAUAGAAUA
rnacentral:lncRNA from 1 species